rnacentral:lncRNA from 1 species
GACACCUGAAGACUAGGCACUGAGCCAGUCACUGAAGCUUCUCCCUCCUGCUACAUUAUGUCUCCAAAGUCAAGAAGACAGCCACGCUGGGGUAUGAUUUCUAUCUACCCUUCAAGUUCUAUCUCCAGCCUGCCUGCCUCUGAAACUCUCUUUGAGCGUCUUACUUUAUCCUUCCCCACGGUUAUCUACUUCUGGCAAAUGUGGAUUUUGUGUUGCAGUUAUUGUUAGAAAGUGUCAGUCUGCAUCAGGAAGUCUCCUGGCUCCGUUGCUCCCACCGCCCAGGCAGAGCGUUAUCUCACUUAAAACACGCCAAGCUGAAUAACCUUGAACACAAACCCUUUCAUUCCGUACGUGAUCUCAGGAUGGCACAGGGAAAUAGAGAAGAAUGACUAAAGUAUGCACAGGUGGCAUCAGAGACAAGAAGAGGGCAUUGGGUCCUUCACAGCGGCUCUCAUUUCCAUGUGCAGUAUGUUUAGACCUGGGUCAUAUAUGUUGUUCCUUCUGGAGCCAGCACGACAACCCAGCUGCUUCUCUCUCAGGAACCUGGUGCAUUCCUGCUGAUUUGCAACCUGAAAGGGUGAACCAGCUGCAAGGGAGGCUUCUGAUAGCACAGGCUUCAACUACAACCAAUUGCUGAGGAAUUCUGGGAGGUUUAAUACAUGAAAUCAUUCUAAUUACACAAGAUGAACUCAGAAAAGCUUUCCACUCCAAUUUUAUGGCUGUUUCAUUGCAGGAAAGGUUGAAAGUGUGGGGAGUAAAAAAAGCAAGAUUCUUUCAUUGACUUCCCAUUUUGUUGGAAUAUUAAGAGCUGGGCCAUUACAAAAAUAAAUGAAUGGAUGAGAAACUGCUA